rnacentral:rRNA from 1 species
UACGAAGGGGGCUAGCGUUGUUCGGAAUUACUGGGCGUAAAGCGCACGUAGGCGGAUCGAUCAGUCAGGGGUGAAAUCCCAGGGCUCAACCCUGGAACUGCCUUUGAUACUGUCGAUCUGGAGUAUGGAAGAGGUGAGUGGAAUUCCGAGUGUAGAGGUGAAAUUCGUAGAUAUUCGGAGGAACACCAGAAGCGAAGGCGCCAACUGGCCCGAUACUGACGCUGAGGCGCGGAAAGCGUGGGG